rnacentral:rRNA from 1 species
UACGUAGGGUGCAAGCGUUGUCCGGAAUUAUUGGGCGUAAAGAGCUCGUAGGCGGUCUGUCGCGUCUGCUGUGAAAACUCGGGGCUUAACCCCGGGCUGCAGUGGGUACGGGCAGACUAGAGUGCGGUAGGGGAGACUGGAAUUCCUGGUGUAGCGGUGAAAUGCGCAGAUAUCGGGAGGAACACCGGUGGCGAAGGCGGUUCUCUGGGCCUUACCUGACGCUGAGGAGCGAAAGCGUGGGGAGCGAACAGG